UACCGCCUAUCUGCACUUCCACCGCCGUUCUCCCUCUGAUAACUUCUCCCCUGCCAAGAUCCUUCCGCCGCCACCGCAUCGAAGUGCCGCGCGAGGAGGCCGGCAAUGGCGAGGCCACGCAAAAGAGUAGUAGGAGAUUGAGAGGCGCGGGAGCUGCGCCUAUGGAGGCUCCUAGGAUUCAGGCACAUGAGGGGAACGGUGUCGCGACGGUGGGUUAUUAGUGGAGGAGGCUGACGCGACGUGUUGCCAUAGACCUGCAGCGCGAGAAGAGAUUGGAGCCGGCCAGAACCGCGGCGACGCCGGCAGCGUCGGCGGAGGAGGCCAACCUGAUGCAGGUUGCCGAGCAGCUGGGUGGGAUGAGGUCAGGUUCAUCUGAGAUGCUUCUACAGUUCAUCCGUCGGUAAGGAUCCUGCAAAAUCGGGCGCCUCUGGUGAUUCCAACGACAGCGAGCACAAGCACCAAGGAGUAGCAGCGACGGCGACCAGACAAGCGCGAGGAGCGGCGGUGGGGAGCAUACAAGCGAGAGGAGCGGUAGCGGUGACUCGACAAGCCAGGGGAACGGCCUUUCCCGAUGCGUAGUUGCAGCAAGGUGGGCAUCCAGGAGGUACUCGAGGUGGCAUAAGGAAGAUGGAAAUCUGGACAGGUUUCUCCGCUGCGGCGAAUCUGCACUGUCAGGGGAUGAGCAAGGUUGCAUCGACCUCCUUGGACAGUGCGGAUCACCUCUCUUGCCAGUGCCUCCCUGCCUCUGCCGCAGCCUCUCCCCACUGCUACACUCUGCUUCGGGCCUCCUCUGAGAACCAUGGUUCGAUCCUCACUCUCGCAAAUUUGUUGGGUUCUGUUCAGAAGUAUAUUAUAGGCUCACAUUGAAAGUGCAGACACACACAUUCAGUAGGGAGAUCCCCACUGAUUUGCCACGGCGGUUCUUAUCCUGCACUUCUCAAAUUUUUUUGAUUUUGCGAAUGAUAAUCGGUAUGACUGAAUAAAAUCAGGAUGGAAUGACUAAUUUAUGGUGGAGCAGGCAUCAGAGAUGGGAAGUUUUGAUGGUAUAGCUUGGUAUAAUGCCAAAUUUACUCAAUAUAUGUUCGUUUUUUUACAAAUAUAUUUGUGGAAUAGUGCAGGUACAUGUGUUUGUAGGGUACUGACUUAGUCCUGACUUGAUUUAAUUUGUUGGUGUUCAAUUUAGCCUAAACAGUGUCGUCUGCACUGUCCUAUGUUGUCAUAUAAACGUUUUUUUGGUUUGAGGCUUCCAAGUAAAGCAUUUAUUUUUUGUUUCUCACUGAUUCGUGAUGCAAUAAUUAGCAAUUCAAAUAUAAAAAUAGACAACGAAAAUAGAGGAUAUCAGAUGCAGGUAUAGUAGAUGCUGCCUUGAGAAUUUUUGCUAUUUGUUCACCGUAUAUGGAUGGUUGGAGUUCAUGUGCCCAUUAAACGGUUAACCUUUGCUGAUGAAAAAGAAAAGCCUUACGAUUGUGCUUGGUUUUUCUCUUAUGCACGCUCUGCCCCUCUACGAGGUAAAAGGGGUCACGGUUAAAGGUCAAAGCUUCAGUGUAAAGUUGAUAUCUUAUGCUUCUAGAAUUAGUGGAACGGUUAAAAUCAGCAAUUUGUGUCAGUGUGUAAAUCUAAUGUAUUUGUAUGCCAUGUUAUCUGGACUAGGUAAGUAGAUAUGUGGGCUCAUACUUAAAUUCACAAUUUUCAUUACAUGAUUCAGUAAGGCCACAUGGAGACCGGGCUGAAUUGGUGGUUAUAGAAAUUCCAUGGAUAAAAGCAUACACAAAAAGAUACUGUAGUUUACGCCAUUGAUAUCUCCUCUGUGGAAAUUGUUUUAUGUUAGUUCAGACUAAUCUUACAUGACAGCGUACUAGAUUUUUGUUUCUCUAUCUUUCCUUAUGAUGAUUAGGCUUCAUUUUUCAGUAAUGAGUUCCUUCUGGAGUUGAGACAUUUAAAAAAGAUGUGCAUUGUUGCUCCGAGCUGAAUUUUUUAUAUGUGUUUUUCGUAGAUAACUGAGUGCUUGGUUCUUGACAUUUUCAAGAUGAGGAUACUUUGAUAUAUUUUCCAUAUAGUUGUUCAUAUGUGGUAUAGGAAAAGAAAAUGACAGUGGGAUGCAUAUCUACACCUCUAUAAUCUGAGUGCAGAAUAUUCAGACAUAACAUGCACUGACAGAUAUAACUAACUGCGAUUUCUUAUAUGUUAGGUAGUAUCCUAGCUUUCAUAUUUGUCUAGCAUUUUAGUCCAAUAAUAUGAUGAUAAUGUUUUGACGCAGAUUGUGAUGCUGGAGAGGCACUUGGAUGAUCAGCACGGCACGCUGAACAAAGCGUUGUGCCCCAAUCGUGCAUCAGUCACCCUGUCCAAUGAGAACUCACUACUCAAGGUCACAAUUGUUCGUUCAUGAACAAAUGAAUACACGAGUUGUAUAUUCAUCGGAUGAAACUUAUGGAGAAUAAAAGAAGGGUGUAAUUUUUGACUCAUGCUGGGAGUGAUAAGCUUGAGCGUCUUGAAAAAAAAAAUGACAUGAAGGGCCUCACUGUUAAGAACUAGGCACUCAUCUGCAUUCUCAAACAACUGACCAACAGUAUCGGAUACUUUUGGUGACAUGAAAACAGAGAACCUAAGCAUCAUGCAUGUAGUCUGGGUACUCCUUCACCAUGCUAGAUCCAAAACCACCAGUCCAGAACCAAGAGAGUAGCAUACUUGGGAAGACACAAGAUAUUUCAAGUUAUACCUACUCUCUGAAGUCCUAAAUCCUCUGUUCUUACUGAAUUUUAUUGCAAAUAAAUGAAAGAAGAUCUGACUUUA